rnacentral:rRNA from 1 species
GGCGGCAGGCCUAACACAUGCAAGUCGAGCGGUAGCACAGAGAGCUUGCUCUCGGGUGACGAGCGGCGGACGGGUGAGUAAUGUCUGGGAAACUGCCUGAUGGAGGGGGAUAACUACUGGAAACGGUAGCUAAUACCGCAUAACGUCGCAAGACCAAAGUGGGGGACCUUCGGGCCUCAUGCCAUCAGAUGUGCCCAGAUGGGAUUAGCUAGUAGGUGGGGUAACGGCUCACCUAGGCGACGAUCCCUAGCUGGUCUGAGAGGAUGACCAGCCACACUGGAACUGAGACACGGUCCAGACUCCUACGGGAGGCAGCAGUGGGGAAUAUUGCACAAUGGGCGCAAGCCUGAUGCAGCCAUGCCGCGUGUGUGAAGAAGGCCUUCGGGUUGUAAAGCACUUUCAGCGGGGAGGAAGGCGUUAAGGUUAAUAACCUUGGCGAUUGACGUUACCCGCAGAAGAAGCACCGGCUAACUCCGUGCCAGCAGCCGCGGUAAUACGGAGGGUGCAAGCGUUAAUCGGAAUUACUGGGCGUAAAGCGCACGCAGGCGGUCUGUCAAGUCGGAUGUGAAAUCCCCGGGCUCAACCUGGGAACUGCAUUCGAAACUGGCAGGCUAGAGUCUUGUAGAGGGGGGUAGAAUUCCAGGUGUAGCGGUGAAAUGCGUAGAGAUCUGGAGGAAUACCGGUGGCGAAGGCGGCCCCCUGGACAAAGACUGACGCUCAGGUGCGAAAGCGUGGGGAGCAAACAGGAUUAGAUACCCUGGUAGUCCACGCCGUAAACGAUGUCGAUUUGGAGGUUGUGCCCUUGAGGCGUGGCUUCCGGAGCUAACGCGUUAAAUCGACCGCCUGGGGAGUACGGCCGCAAGGUUAAAACUCAAAUGAAUUGACGGGGGCCCGCACAAGCGGUGGAGCAUGUGGUUUAAUUCGAUGCAACGCGAAGAACCUUACCUGGUCUUGACAUCCACAGAACUUUCCAGAGAUGGAUUGGUGCCUUCGGGAACUGUGAGACAGGUGCUGCAUGGCUGUCGUCAGCUCGUGUUGUGAAAUGUUGGGUUAAGUCCCGCAACGAGCGCAACCCUUAUCCUUUGUUGCCAGCGGUUCGGCCGGGAACUCAAAGGAGACUGCCAGUGAUAAACUGGAGGAAGGUGGGGAUGACGUCAAGUCAUCAUGGCCCUUACGACCAGGGCUACACACGUGCUACAAUGGCAUAUACAAAGAGAAGCGACCUCGCGAGAGCAAGCGGACCUCAUAAAGUAUGUCGUAGUCCGGAUUGGAGUCUGCAACUCGACUCCAUGAAGUCGGAAUCGCUAGUAAUCGUAGAUCAGAAUGCUACGGUGAAUACGUUCCCGGGCCUUGUACACACCGCCCGUCACACCAUGGGAGUGGGUUGCAAAAGAAGUAGGUAGCUUAACCUUCGGGAGGGCGCUUACCACUUUG